rnacentral:rRNA from 1 species
GUUGGGUAGGGGAGCGUUCUGUAAGCCUGUGAAGGUGGCCUGUGAGGGUUGCUGGAGGUAUCAGAAGUGCGAAUGCUGACAUAAGUAACGAUAAAGCGGGUGAAAAGCCCGCUCGCCGGAAGACCAAGGGUUCCUGUCCAACGUUAAUCGGGGCAGGGUGAGUCGACCCCUAAGGCGAGGCCGAAAGGCGUAGUCGAUGGGAAACGGGUUAAUAUUCCCGUACUUGGUGUUACUGCGAAGGGGGGACGGAGAAGGCUAUGUUGGCCGGGCGACGGUUGUCCCGGUUUAAGCGUGUAGGUGUGUGUUCCAGGUAAAUCCGGUUCACUUUAACACUGAGGCGUGAUGACGAGGCACUACGGUGCUGAAGUAACAAAUGCCCUGCUUCCAGGAAAAGCCUCUAAGCAUCAGGUAACAUCAAAUCGUACCCCAAACCGACACAGGUGGUCAGGUAGAGAAUACCAAGGCGCUUGAGAGAACUCGGGUGAAGGAACUAGGCAAAAUGGUGCCGUAACUUCGGGAGAAGGCACGCUGACACGUAGGUGAAGUGAUUUACUCACGGAGCUGAAGUCAGUCGAAGAUACCAGCUGGCUGCAACUGUUUAUUAAAAACACAGCACUGUGCAAACACGAAAGUGGACGUAUACGGUGUGACGCCUGCCCGGUGCCGGAAGGUUAAUUGAUGGGGUCAGCGCAAGCGAAGCUCCUGAUCGAAGCCCCGGUAAACGGCGGCCGUAACUAUAACGGUCCUAAGGUAGCGAAAUUCCUUGUCGGGUAAGUUCCGACCUGCACGAAUGGCGUAAUGAUGGCCAGGCUGUCUCCACCCGAGACUCAGUGAAAUUGAACUCGCUGUGAAGAUGCAGUGUACCCGCGGCAAGACGGAAAGACCCCGUGAACCUUUACUAUAGCUUGACACUGAACAUUGAGCCUUGAUGUGUAGGAUAGGUGGGAGGCUUUGAAGUGUGGACGCCAGUCUGCAUGGAGCCGACCUUGAAAUACCACCCUUUAAUGUUUGAUGUUCUAACGUGGACCCGUUACCCGGGUUGCGGACAGUGUCUGGUGGGUAGUUUGACUGGGGCGGUCUCCUCCUAAAGAGUAACGGAGGAGCACGAAGGUUGGCUAAUCCUGGUCGGACAUCAGGAGGUUAGUGCAAUGGCAUAAGCCAGCUUGACUGCGAGCGUGACGGCGCGAGCAGGUGCGAAAGCAGGUCAUAGUGAUCCGGUGGUUCUGAAUGGAAGGGCCAUCGCUCAACGGAUAAAAGGUACUCCGGGGAUAACAGGCUGAUACCGCCCAAGAGUUCAUAUCGACGGCGGUGUUUGGCACCUCGAUGUCGGCUCAUCACAUCCUGGGGCUGAAGUAGGUCCCAAGGGUAUGGCUGUUCGCCAUUUAAAGUGGUACGCGAGCUGGGUUUAGAACGUCGUGAGACAGUUCGGUCCCUAUCUGCCGUGGGCGCUGGAGAACUGAGGGGGGCUGCUCCUAGUACGAGAGGACCGGAGUGGACGCAUCACUGGUGUUCGGGUUGUCAUGCCAAUGGCACUGCCCGGUAGCUAAAUGCGGAAGAGAUAAGUGCUGAAAGCAUCUAAGCACGAAACUUGCCCCGAGAUGAGUUCUCCCUGAGACUUAAAGUCUCCUGAAGGAACGUUGAAGACGACGACGUUGAUAGGCCGGGUGUGUAAGCG